UGAUUCAGCGGCGGACGGGUGAGUAACACGUGGGCAACCUGCCCUGUAGAUUGGGAUAACUCCGGGAAACCGGGGCUAAUACCGAAUAAUCCUUCGGACCUCAUGGUCCGAUGUUGAAAGACGGCUUCUCGCUGGUCCUUACGGGUGGGGCCCCCGCCCCAUUACUUAGUUGGUGAAGGUACCGCUCCACCAGGGCACCAAUGCCUAACCCAACUGGAAAGGUGAUCCGCCACCCUGGGACUGAAACCCCGGCCAAAAUCCUACCGGAAGGCACCAGUAGGGAAUCUUCCACAAUGGACGAAAGUCUGAUGGAGCAACGCCGCGUGAGUGAAGAAGGUUCUCGGAUCGUAAAACUCUGUUGUGAGGGAAGAACAAGUACCGGAGUAACUGCCGGUACCUUGACGGUACCUCAUUAGAAAGCCACGGCUAACUACGUGCCAGCAGCCGCGGUAAUACGUAGGUGGCAAGCGUUGUCCGGAAUCAUUGGGCGUAAAGCGCGCGCAGGCGGUCCCUUAAGUCUGAUGUGAAAGCCCACGGCUCAACCGUGGAGGGUCAUUGGAAACUGGGGGACUUGAGUGCAGAAGAGGAAAGCGGAAUUCCAAGUGUAGCGGUGAAAUGCGUAGAGAUUUGGAGGAAC
rnacentral:rRNA from 1 species